AACUUUUUGAAUCCGUGUCGAGAUUUCGUCAGACACCAACCCACUAGGGCUGACCAGACUUCCAAGAUAAGUGGAGUU
rfam:Schistosoma rodhaini strain Burundi genome assembly, scaffold: SROB_scaffold0004592